ACUCAAAUGAAUUGACGGGGGCUCACACAAGCGGUGGAGGAUGUUGCUCAAUUCGAAGCAACGCGAAGAACCUUACCAGGGUUUGACAUGCUGGAAUUAACCCCAUGAAAGUGGGGGGAUUGCCUUCGGGUGUAACCAGUACAGGUGUUGCAUGGCUGUCGUCAGCUCGUGCCUUGAGGUGUUGGGUUAAGUCCCCUAACGAGCGAAACCCCUAUCGUUAGUUGCCAUCGGGUCAUGCCGGGCACUCUAGCGAGACUGCCGGUGUCAAACCGGAGGAAGGUGGGGACGACGUCAAGUCAUCAUGGCCCUUAUAUCCUGGGCUGCAAACGUCCUACAAUGGCCCGUACAAAGGGAAGCAAAGCCGCGAGGCGGAGCAAAUCCCAAAAAGCAGGCCCUAGUUCGGAUUGCAGGCUGCAAUUCGCCUGCAUGAAGCUGGAAUCGCUAGUAAUCGCGGAUCAGAACGCCGCGGUGAAUAUGUUCCUGAGCCUUGUACACACCGCCCGU
rnacentral:rRNA from 1 species